UACGUAGGGUGCAAGCGUUGCCCGGAUUUAUUGGGCGUAAAGAGCUCGUAGGCGGUCUGUUGCGUCCGCUGUGAAAACUCGGGGCUUAACCCCGAGCCUGCAGUGGAUACGGGCAGACUAGAGGUAGGUAGGGGAGAAUGGAAUUCCCGGUGUAGCGGUGAAAUGCGCAGAUAUCGGGAGGAACACCGGUGGCGAAGGCGGCAUCCUGGACCGACACUGACGCUGAGGAGCGAAAGCCAGGGGAGCAAACGGG
rnacentral:rRNA from 1 species